rnacentral:rRNA from 1 species
AUGGGCUUUAUUAUACACUUUUAUAUUAUUUUUGGGACUAACCUAUUAACCGGAGGCCCAGCCCAAAUUGCUGUUUUUUGCUUAUUUCAGUGUUUCACAGAAAAGGAAUAUCAAACGGAGUCCAAACGGAAUGAAACCUUCGGGAGAGUUAUUUUUGGAACAAACGUGAUCCAGAGAACUUGGAGUGGACGUCAAGAAAUCACCAAGGUGGCCACGAGGCAGGGGGGGCGCCCUCCACCCUCGUGGGCCCCUCGUAGCUCCAUCGACCCUCGUAUAUACCUACGUACCCCGAAAACAUCAGACACGGAGCCAAAACCCUAUUUCCACCGCCGCAACCUUUUGUACCCGUGA